rnacentral:rRNA from 1 species
UACGGAGGGUGCUAGCGUUGUUCGGAAUCACUGGGCGUAAAGGGCGUGUAGGCGGUCUGUUAAGUCUGAUGUGAAAUCCCCUCGCUCAACGAGGGAACUGCGUCGGAUACUGGCAGACUCGAGUACCGGAGAGGAAGGUGGAAUUCCCGGUGUAGCGGUGAAAUGCGUAGAUAUCGUAAGGAAGACCAGUGGCGAAGGCGGGUCUCUGGACAGUUCCUGACGCUGAGGCACGAAGGUCAGGGGAGCAAACGGG